CCCUAGCCCUGAUGGCAGCGGCAUCCUUUUUUAUCCGCUUUUUCGGCGGAUAAAAAAGAUACAGCGAAUAGCAGGAAAUUGC
rnacentral:sRNA from 1 species